CCUUCGAUAGCUCAAUUGGUAGAGCGGGGGACUGUAGAUUUAUAAUUGUGAUCCCUAGGUCGCUGGUUCGAAUCGGGCUCGAAGAA
rnacentral:tRNA from 2 species